UAAAGACUUUCUUUUGCUCCAAAGAAAUGGAGGACGUCCAGGUAGUAUGUAUGGUGCCGAUACUGUACUCACAAGAAAAGAAAAACGCAAAGAGCAACGAAUGGAAGAAGAAAGAAAGCGCCUUGAAAAGCAUUUAGUUCAUACUAAUUAUGCUCUUGAAGUCUCUGAUACCGAGGAUGCUGAAAAGGAAGAAAAAAAUGCAGCAAAAUGCAGCUGGCGAAGAAAAUGCAGUAAAAGAUAUGAAUGAAGGCGAAGAUACAGACGGAAGUAACAUUAAUUUACUACCGAAAAAGGCAAAUUGAGGAAAAAUUAAUUUUAUUGAUGAUAGAAUGCUUGCAUGCAUGGACAAAUGUAACCUCUCAACAAGACCUGCCCCCACCUUUGGUGAGUGCAACGGUUGCUGCCUUCGUAAAUACCAUGCAAAAUGUUAAUGGAACGCCGUCAAUAAAAAUGGAAGAUUUAAUUCUUAAUCGAACAACAUUACAUUCGAUGAGGAGAGAUUAUCGUCACAGACAAGCUCAAGAGAUUAUUAAUGGAUUCAAUACUCCCGACGUUUUUGUCCUUCACUGGGAUGGCAAGCUGCUUGCAGAAAUCCGAGGCACAGAAAAGAAAGAUAGAUUGUCUCUCGUUG